rnacentral:rRNA from 1 species
UACGGGGGGAGCAAGCGUUGUUCGGAUUUACUGGGCGUAAAGGGCGCGUAGGCGGUCAGCACAAGUCAGUUGUGAAAUCUCCGGGCUUAACUCGGAAAGGUCAACUGAUACUGUGCGACUAGAGUGCGGAAGUGGCAACUGGAAUUCUUGGUGUAGCGGUGAAAUGCGUAGAUAUCAAGAGGAACACCUGCGGCGAAGGCGGGUUGCUGGGCCGACACUGACGCUGAGGCGCGAAAGCCAGGGGAGCGAACGGG